UCACGUACUACGAGUUUGUAGUCCUUGGACUCAGGAUUGAACGGACUACGGCGUCGACGUGUCGUCUAAACAUGCAAGUCGAACGGACUUCUCAUGAAGCUUGCGAUUGAGAAGUUAGUGGCGGACGGGUGAGUAACGCGUGGGCAACCUGCCCCUGAGCCCGGGAUAACAGUUCGAAAGGACUGCUAAGACCGGAUAUACUUGCGGGGAAGCAUUUCACUGCAAGGAAGGGAACGCUCAGGGAUGGGCCCGCGUCCCAUUAGCUAGUUGGUGAGGUAACGGCCCACCAAGGCGACGAUGGGUAGCCGGCCUGAGAGGGUGAACGGCCACACUGGGACUGAGACACGGCCCAGACUCCUACGGGAGGCAGCAGUUGGGAAUCUUCGGCAAUGGGCGCAAGCCUGACCGAGCAACGCCGCGUGAGUGAUGAAGGUUUUCGGAUUGUAAAGCUCUGUCUUCCGGGACGAUAAUGACGGUACCGGAGGAGGAAGCCACGGCUAACUACGUG
rnacentral:rRNA from 1 species